rnacentral:rRNA from 1 species
GCAUAUCAAAAAGCGGAGGAAAAGAAACCAACAGGGAUUGCCUUAGUAGCGGCGAGUGAAGCGGCAAAAGCUCAAAUUUGAAAUCUGGCGCCUUCGGUGUCCGAGUUGUAAUUUGAAGAUUGUAACCUUGGGGUUGGCUCUUGUCUAUGUUUCUUGGAACAGGACGUCACAGAGGGUGAGAAUCCCGUGCGAUGAGAUGCCCAAUUCUAUGUAAGGUGCUUUCGAAGAGUCGAGUUGUUUGGGAAUGCAGCUCUAAGUGGGUGGUAAAUUCCAUCUAAAGCUAAAUAUUGGCGAGAGACCGAUAGCGAACAAGUACAGUGAUGGAAAGAUGAAAAGAACUUUGAAAAGAGAGUGAAAAAGUACGUGAAAUUGUUGAAAGGGAAGGGUUUGAGAUCAGACUCGAUAUUUUGUGAGCCUUGCCUUCGUGGCGGGGUGACCCGCAGCUUAUCGGGCCAGCAUCGGUUUGGGCGGUAGGAUAAUGGCGUAGGAAUGUGACUUUACUUCGGUGAAGUGUUAUAGCCUGCGUUGAUGCUGCCUGCCUAGACCGAGGACUGCGAUUUUAUCAAGGAUGCUGGCAUAAUGAUCCCAAACCGCCCGUCUUGAAACACGGA